AUAGCGUAUAUUAAAGUUGUUGAGGUUAAAAAGCUCGUAGUUGAACCUUGGGCCUAGCCGGCCGGUCCGCCUCACCGCGUGCACUGGCUCGGCUGGGUCUUUCCUUCUGGAGAACCGCAUGCCCUUCACUGGGUGUGCCGGGGAACCAGGACUUUUACUCUGAACAAAUUAGAUCGCUUAAAGAAGGCCUAUGCUCGAAUAUAUUAGCAUGGAAUAAUAGAAUAGGACGUGCGGUUCUAUUUUGUUGGUUUCUAGGAUCGCCGUAAUGAUUAAUAGGGACGGUCGGGGGCAUUAGUAUUCCGUUGCUAGAGGUGAAAUUCUUAGAUUUACGGAAGACUAACUUCUG
rnacentral:rRNA from 1 species